AUGUGUUGUUGGGUAGGGGAGCGUUCUGUAAGCCUGUGAAGGUGUGCUGUGAGGCAUGCUGGAGGUAUCAGAAGUGCGAAUGCUGACAUAAGUAACGAUAAAGCGGGUGAAAAGCCCGCUCGCCGGAAGACCAAGGGUUCCUGUCCAACGUUAAUCGGGGCAGGGUGAGUCGACCCCUAAGGCGAGGCCGAAAGGCGUAGUCGAUGGGAAACAGGUUAAUAUUCCUGUACUUGGUGUUACUGCGAAGGGGGGACGGAGAAGGCUAUGUUGGCCGGGCGACGGUUGUCCCGGUUUAAGCGUGUAGGCUGGUUUUCCAGGCAAAUCCGGAAAAUCAAGGCUGAGGCGUGAUGACGAGGCACUACGGUGCUGAAGCAACAAAUGCCCUGCUUCCAGGAAAAGCCUCUAAGCAUCAGGUAACAUCAAAUCGUACCCCAAACCGACACAGGUGGUCAGGUAGAGAAUACCAAGGCGCUUGAGAGAACUCGGGUGAAGGAACUAGGCAAAAUGGUGCCGUAACUUCGGGAGAAGGCACGCUGAUAUGUAGGUGAAGUCCCUCGCGGAUGGAGCUGAAAUCAGUCGAAGAUACCAGCUGGCUGCAACUGUUUAUUAAAAACACAGCACUGUGCAAACACGAAAGUGGACGUAUACGGUGUGACGCCUGCCCGGUGCCGGAAGGUUAAUUGAUGGGGUUAGCCGCAAGGCGAAGCUCUUGAUCGAAGCCCCGGUAAACGGCGGCCGUAACUAUAACGGUCCUAAGGUAGCGAAAUUCCUUGUCGGGUAAGUUCCGACCUGCACGAAUGGCGUAAUGAUGGCCAGGCUGUCUCCACCCGAGACUCAGUGAAAUUGAACUCGCUGUGAAGAUGCAGUGUACCCGCGGCAAGACGGAAAGACCCCGUGAACCUUUACUAUAGCUUGACACUGAACAUUGAGCCUUGAUGUGUAGGAUAGGUGGGAGGCUUAGAAGUGUGGACGCCAGUCUGCAUGGAGCCGACCUUGAAAUACCACCCUUUAAUGUUUGAUGUUCUAACGUUGACCCGUAAUCCGGGUUGCGGACAGUGUCUGGUGGGUAGUUUGACUGGGGCGGUCUCCUCCUAAAGAGUAACGGAGGAGCACGAAGGUUGGCUAAUCCUGGUCGGACAUCAGGAGGUUAGUGCAAUGGCAUAAGCCAGCUUGACUGCGAGCGUGACGGCGCGAGCAGGUGCGAAAGCAGGUCAUAGUGAUCCGGUGGUUCUGAAUGGAAGGGCCAUCGCUCAACGGAUAAAAGGUACUCCGGGGAUAACAGGCUGAUACCGCCCAAGAGUUCAUAUCGACGGCGGUGUUUGGCACCUCGAUGUCGGCUCAUCACAUCCUGGGGCUGAAGUAGGUCCCAAGGGUAUGGCUGUUCGCCAUUUAAAGUGGUACGCGAGCUGGGUUUAGAACGUCGUGAGACAGUUCGGUCCCUAUCUGCCGUGGGCGCUGGAGAACUGAGGGGGGCUGCUCCUAGUACGAGAGGACCGGAGUGGACGCAUCACUGGUGUUCGGGUUGUCAUGCCAAUGGCACUGCCCGGUAGCUAAAUGCGGAAGAGAUAAGUGCUGAAAGCAUCUAAGCACGAAACUUGCCCCGAGAUGAGUUCUCCCUGACUCCUUGAGAGUCCUGAAGGAACGUUGAAGACGACGACGUUGAUAGGCCGGGUGUGUAAGCGCAGCGAUGCGUUGAGCUAACCGGUACUAAUGAACCGUGAGGCUUAACCUUACAACGCCGAAG
rnacentral:rRNA from 1 species